GGGCUUGUGGUUUAGUGGUAUAAUUUUCCCUUAGCAUUUCUAGCCUUUAGGCUAGACCACAACAUGGGAAAGGUCCUGGGUUCGAUUCCCAGCAAGUCCA